rnacentral:rRNA from 1 species
GAAACAUCUUCGGGUUGUGAGGUUAAGCGACUAAGCGUACACGGUGGAUGCCCUGGCAGUCAGAGGCGAUGAAGGACGUGCUAAUCUGCGAUAAGCGUCGGUAAGGUGAUAUGAACCGUUAUAACCGGCGAUUUCCGAAUGGGGAAACCCAGUGUGAUUCGUCACACUAUCAUUAACUGAAUCCAUAGGUUAAUGAGGCGAACCGGGGGAACUGAAACAUCUAAGUACCCCGAGGAAAAGAAAUCAACCGAGAUUCCCCCAGUAGCGGCGAGCGAACGGGGAGCAGCCCAGAGCCUGAAUCAGUGUGUGUGUUAGUGGAAGCGUCUGGAAAGGCGUGCGAUACAGGGUGACAGCCCCGUACACAAAAAUGCACAUGCUGUGAGCUCGAUGAGUAGGGCGGGACACGUGGUAUCCUGUCUGAAUAUGGGGGACCAUCCUCCAAGGCUAAAUACUCCUGACUGACCGAUAGUGAACCAGUACCGUGAGGGAAAGGCGAAAAGAACCCGGCGAGGGGAGUGAAAAAGAACCUGAAACCGUGUACGUACAAGCAGUGGGAGCACAGAGCAAUCUGUGUGACUGCGUACCUUUUGUAUAAUGGGUCAGCGACUUAUAUUCUGUAGCAAGGUUAACCGAAUAGGGGAGCCGAAGGGAAACCGAGUCUUAACUGGGCGUUAAGUUGCAGGGUAUAGACCCGAAACCCGGUGAUCUAGCCAUGGGCAGGUUGAAGGUUGGGUAACACUAACUGGAGGACCGAACCGACUAAUGUUGAAAAAUUAGCGGAUGACUUGUGGCUGGGGGUGAAAGGCCAAUCAAACCGGGAGAUAGCUGGUUCUCCCCGAAAGCUAUUUAGGUAGCGCCUCGUGAAUUCAUCUCCGGGGGUAGAGCACUGUUUCGGCAAGGGGGUCAUCCCGACUUACCAACCCGAUGCAAACUGCGAAUACCGGAGAAUGUUAUCACGGGAGACACACGGCGGGUGCUAACGUCCGUCGUGAAGAGGGAAACAACCCAGACCGCCAGCUAAGGUCCCAAAGUCAUGGUUAAGUGGGAAACGAUGUGGGAAGGCCCAGACAGCCAGGAUGUUGGCUUAGAAGCAGCCAUCAUUUAAAGAAAGCGUAAUAGCUCACUGGUCGAGUCGGCCUGCGCGGAAGAUGUAACGGGGCUAAACCAUGCACCGAAGCUGCGGCAGCGACGCUUAUGCGUUGUUGGGUAGGGGAGCGUUCUGUAAGCCUGCGAAGGUGUGCUGUGAGGCAUGCUGGAGGUAUCAGAAGUGCGAAUGCUGACAUAAGUAACGAUAAAGCGGGUGAAAAGCCCGCUCGCCGGAAGACCAAGGGUUCCUGUCCAACGUUAAUCGGGGCAGGGUGAGUCGACCCCUAAGGCGAGGCCGAAAGGCGUAGUCGAUGGGAAACAGGUUAAUAUUCCUGUACUUGGUGUUACUGCGAAGGGGGGACGGAGAAGGCUAUGUUGGCCGGGCGACGGUUGUCCCGGUUUAAGCGUGUAGGCUGGUUUUCCAGGCAAAUCCGGAAAACUAAGGCUGAGGCGUGAUGACGAGGCACUACGGUGCUGAAGCAACAAAUGCCCUGCUUCCAGGAAAAGCCUCUAAGCAUCAGGUAACAUCAAAUCGUACCCCAAACCGACACAGGUGGUCAGGUAGAGAAUACCAAGGCGCUUGAGAGAACUCGGGUGAAGGAACUAGGCAAAAUGGUGCCGUAACUUCGGGAGAAGGCACGCUGAUAUGUAGGUGAAGCGACUUGCUCGUGGAGCUGAAAUCAGUCGAAGAUACCAGCUGGCUGCAACUGUUUAUUAGAAACACAGCACUGUGCAAACACGAAAGUGGACGUAUACGGUGUGACGCCUGCCCGGUGCCGGAAGGUUAAUUGAUGGGGUCAGCGCAAGCGAAGCUCUUGAUCGAAGCCCCGGUAAACGGCGGCCGUAACUAUAACGGUCCUAAGGUAGCGAAAUUCCUUGUCGGGUAAGUUCCGACCUGCACGAAUGGCGUAAUGAUGGCCAGGCUGUCUCCACCCGAGACUCAGUGAAAUUGAACUCGCUGUGAAGAUGCAGUGUACCCGCGGCAAGACGGAAAGACCCCGUGAACCUUUACUAUAGCUUGACACUGAACAUUGAGCCUUGAUGUGUAGGAUAGGUGGGAGGCUUUGAAGUGUGGACGCCAGUCUGCAUGGAGCCGACCUUGAAAUACCACCCUUUAAUGUUUGAUGUUCUAACGUUGACCCGUGAUCCGGGUUGCGGACAGUGUCUGGUGGGUAGUUUGACUGGGGCGGUCUCCUCCUAAAGAGUAACGGAGGAGCACGAAGGUUGGCUAAUCCUGGUCGGACAUCAGGAGGUUAGUGCAAUGGCAUAAGCCAGCUUGACUGCGAGCGUGACGGCGCGAGCAGGUGCGAAAGCAGGUCAUAGUGAUCCGGUGGUUCUGAAUGGAAGGGCCAUCGCUCAACGGAUAAAAGGUACUCCGGGGAUAACAGGCUGAUACCGCCCAAGAGUUCAUAUCGACGGCGGUGUUUGGCACCUCGAUGUCGGCUCAUCACAUCCUGGGGCUGAAGUAGGUCCCAAGGGUAUGGCUGUUCGCCAUUUAAAGUGGUACGCGAGCUGGGUUUAGAACGUCGUGAGACAGUUCGGUCCCUAUCUGCCGUGGGCGCUGGAGAACUGAGGGGGGCUGCUCCUAGUACGAGAGGACCGGAGUGGACGCAUCACUGGUGUUCGGGUUGUCAUGCCAAUGGCACUGCCCGGUAGCUAAAUGCGGAAGAGAUAAGUGCUGAAAGCAUCUAAGCACGAAACUUGCCCCGAGAUGAGUUCUCCCUGACUCCUUGAGAGUCCUGAAGGAACGUUGAAGACGACGACGUUGAUAGGCCGGGUGUGUAAGCGCAGCGAUGCGUUGAGCUAACCGGUACUAAUGAACCGUGAGGCUUAACCUU